rnacentral:rRNA from 1 species
AGUGAACGCUGGCGGUAGGCCUAACACAUGCAAGUCGAACGGCAGCGCAGUAAGAGCUUGCUCUUACGGGUGGCGAGUGGCGGACGGGUGAGGAAUACAUCGGAAUCUACUUUUUCGUGGGGGAUAACGUAGGGAAACUUACGCUAAUACCGCAUACGGCCUACGGGUGAAAGCAGGGGAUCUUCGGACCUUGCGCGAUUGAAUGAGCCGAUGUCGGAUUAGCUAGUUGGCGGGGUAAAGGCCCACCAAGGCGACGAUCCGUAGCUGGUCUGAGAGGAUGAUCAGCCACACUGGAACUGAGACACGGUCCAGACUCCUACGGGAGGCAGCAGUGGGGAAUAUUGGACAAUGGGCGCAAGCCUGAUCCAGCCAUACCGCGUGGGUGAAGAAGGCCUUCGGGUUGUAAAGCCCUUUUGUUGGGAAAGAAAAGCAGCAGGUUAAUACCCCGCUGUUCUGACGGUACCCAAAGAAUAAGCACCGGCUAACUUCGUG